rnacentral:lncRNA from 12 species
GACAAGAGCCAUGAGAAGAUAUGGGGCAGAGGGAGACCGUCUCUCAGAAGGUCUUCACUUCCAGGAAAUCAACCCACCAUGAAUCCCCAGAAAAAGCAGAAGGGAUGCUUUGUAUUCCCAUCUUGCAGAAAAUGGAAAUGGCUGAAGGCAGAGAUAGGGCGCUGCAAUUUCUCCCAUCUUCGUGUCUGCGUCAAAAUACUCUUGAAUCAGGCAAAAUGAAACACAUUUUAAGGAUACAAAUGAAGAAAACAUAAUACCACACAACUUCUUUGUGAAAUUUGGACUCGGAUUUCUAAUCAAAUUUUACUAUUGGAGUUACUAGGAGUUUGGAAUGUAACUGAGUACAAAUUGAUUUGCAUUGGAAGAAGACCACGCCAGCCGAAAGAAUGACGUUCAGGCAAUAGGCACGGGUUGAGAAACGGGAAUUUGGAGCAGGAACUCAAGACAGUGAAUAAGGUGCCAACAACCGUGAUG